AAAAUGAGUUUUAAGUAUUUUUUUAUUUAUUAAUAGUAAUAACGCAUUUUUAGUUUUACUUCUGCUUGCCCCCCUCCCCUAGGAUUGACUCCAAGUUACGCCACUGAGAAAUAAUAUCUUGACUAAAUCACCCGUAAUGGAUGUUUAUUAUACUUCUGGUCACAUUAUCAGAUAAUCGGUAAGGGCGUAGGGCCGUAGGGCCCUUUCAAGAUCAAGUGCCCCGGUGCAUUGCACCGCCUGCACCGACGGUUUCUACAGCACUGAUUGCAUUUCGAUAAUAAUAUACUGUACUAAGUGUUUUAGUAAAUUUUAACAAAAUGGAUUAAUAAGUACUUUAGCAUCCCAGGAUAUUAAAAAAAAGGUCACCCAAACACAUUGCAAUUUUUGAAAAUUCGGCUAAACGCAUUACGUAUGAAAUACAUAUGUAUCAGGCAGAUCGUAAGUUUUGUGUUUCAGAAUUUCCAUCAGAGAUUAAGAUUAAUAAUAUUAACUUCAUAUUUUUUGGUUUUAUUGCGUAUUAUUCGGAUCACUACGUUUCACGCAUCAAAAGGUCAAUCAACAUUUGAGAAACACAAUGAUUUGUAAAAAAUAAUCAGAAGAUUUCAAUCAGAUACUAUGCUAGUAAGGCCGCAUUUAGU